GCGAACGUCAGGCCAUAUUUGUUGGAGAUGGUGAGGAGACUGGAGCGCUCCUUAGGAAGAUCCACAGAUGACUCGAACACACGGAUCUUCUUCAUCUGACGGAACUUGAAGUCCUGAGAAGCACAGAAGAGCACAUCUGUAUACCUUUUUAGGUUUUAAUUUGCGGAAAGACGAGUUGAGACUUUUAAAGAUCCACAGAAACACGCAUGCGUGGACGGGAAUGACGUCACGAGCACAACAAAUGACGCUGAAAACACACGACAGAAGAACAAGCCGCCUGUCAAUACUCCUGAUUCAGGUGUGUGUCAGACAAACUCACAUCUUUCACUUUCAUUUCACGGCAUAUGCCUGACAUUAAAAGGAAUCCUGUGCUGAUCGGAAUUCAUUAUGAAAUAAUAAAUAAUGCAGAGAAUCUGAUGGGAAACUGCAUCUGGUUUCAUCAAGCUGUCUCGUGACGUAUGAAGGAAUGAAGAGACACAUACGACACUUCAUAAUCUCCAGCAAAGCAGCGAGUGACCGACAGCCCACCCACUUUGGAGCACGUCAGGACAACCACUUUCACUUUGGUUGGCACCGAAGAGCACGGAGAACACACGGGAGGCACCAGCCACCAGAAAGCGGAUCACCUCACUUCACCAGGAACCUUACACUAAUAAAUAAAUCCACCCUCCGGGGCAUUUAAUUCAUGAACCCUUGUCGAGUGAUUCUUCACCCCGUGGCAUUACCUGUGUGCACGGAGACACUCGCCAAGUACCGGCCCGUGAGAUGGUCAUUUCGUCCCCCCAAGGCACCUCGCCGGUGGCCGUACCGGUGGAGGUAGGCCUGGUGAAGAACCUGCCGGUGGCCGUACUGCUCGGAAGGGAUUGGCCUGGCUUCGACAAGCUGCUCACCGCUUCUACUCAGCCUGCCAGCCCCAAGGGGAACAGUCGAAGGCCGAGGCAGCCGUCUGGACCCUGCCGCCGGCCGGCCCUGCUCGUCUCCGACAAAGAGAAGGUGAGGCCCCCUCCCAAUCUACUAAUCUUUUCUAUGAUGUGUACCAACAGGCCGCUGGAGGGGGCUCUUUCGCCAAGGAACAGCGGGAGGACGACCGACUCAAGCAUUGUUGGACUCAAGUGCGAGUCGUGGAUGGAGAGGACAUCCUCCCCCGGCCCCACCCUCUCCCACAUUUUGUCGUUGAGAAUGGCCUGCUGUAUUGUGUCGCCCAGCGGAGGGGGGAGGAGAAAAAGUUGCUAGUCAUGCCUCGAGCCAAGACCGAGACCUUCCUGGAACUUGCACAUUCCCACCCCAAGGCAGGUCACUUCGCGGCAGCCAACACCACCCAACGCCACCCAACGCAUCCGCGACCGCUUCCACUGGAGGCCGAAGUAAAGCGGUUCUGCCAAGCCUGCCCGACCUGUCAUGACACGUUGUCCAGGACUCCUCCCCCUAGCCUGCUCAUCCCGCUGCCUAUCAUCGAGGUGCCCUUCGAGCGGAUUGGAAUGGACAUAGUGGGGCCGUUGCCGAAGUCUGCCCGAGGGCAUGAGCACAUCCUGGUCAUCGUCGACUAUGCCACCCGGUACCCAGAGGCAGUCCCCCUGCGGAAGGCAACCGCGAAGACCAUCGCCCAGGAGCUGUUUCUGUUUCUUGGUCCGGUACUGCCAACGCUGGUAUAAUCCCUCUCUCAUUUCUCAGCAGAAAGCAGCGAGUGACCGACAGCCCACCCACUUUAGAGCACGUCAGGACACCCACUUUCACAUUGGUUGGCACCGAAGAGCACAGAGAACACACGGGAAGCACCAGCCACCAGAAAGCGGAUCACUUCACCAGGUACCUUAAACUUAAAUAAAUCCACCCUCCGGGGCAUUUAAUUCACGAAUGAUUUGUUGAGUGAUUCUUCACCCUGUGACAAUAUACAAUAUAUAUAUACAUAUCCUGUAGUGCAGAUUCUGUUUCCUCAGUCUAGAUCUGCACACUCUUCAUUUGGCAUCUAGUUCUGUUAGCAACAGAUCUGUAUGUUGGUCUAAGGAAAAAAGCCAGGUGAUCAAAUUGACCGAGGUGGGGGGCUGGCAGUGCUCUAUAGGCUCCCUUUAUAUUCGUAUACACCUGAUACAGUGUUUUUCCCUUCUCGUUCCAAUCUUAAUGUUUAUGUGAAACCUAGGUAGGACUGACUUUAAGUUUGAAUGAAUAAAAAGUCUCCCGCCACAAUGAA